rfam:Alligator mississippiensis ScZkoYb_72, whole genome shotgun sequence.
AUACAUUUUUUUUAAGUGCCUGGUCUUAUCAGCCAUAAUAUCUGAUAUGCCUUCCAUGGGAGGGCUUAGUGUUGAGGGAUUUUUGGACCUGGGAGGGGAAUCAGAGCUUGCUCUAUUCCCUCCGUGCAUCAGCGUGGUAUUGCAAUGUUUCCAGGAGUGGUUCCCCCUUU